rnacentral:rRNA from 1 species
UACGGAGGGUGCGAGCGUUGUCCGGAAUUAUUGGGCGUAAAGAGCUUGUAGGCGGUCUGUCGCGUCUGCUGUGAAAAUCCGGGGCUCAACCCCGGACUUGCAGUGGGUACGGGCAGACUAGAGUGUGGUAGGGGGAGACUGGAAUUCCUGGUGUAGCGGUGAAAUGCGCAGAUAUCAGGAGGAACACCGAUGGCGAAGGCAGGUCUCUGGGCCACUACUGACGCUGAGAAGCGAAAGCAUGGGGAGCGAACAGG